rnacentral:rRNA from 1 species
UGGGGAAUAUUGCACAAUGGGCGCAAGCCUGAUGCAGCCAUGCCGCGUGUAUGAAGAAGGCCUUCGGGUUGUAAAGUACUUUCAGCGGGGAGGAAGGGAGUAAAGUUAAUACCUUUGCUCAUUGACGUUACCCGCAGAAGAAGCACCGGCUAACUCCGUGCCAGCAGCCGCGGUAAUACGGAGGGUGCAAGCGUUAAUCGGAAUUACUGGGCGUAAAGCGCAAGCAGGCGGUUUGUUAAGUCAGAUGUGAAAUCCCCGGGCUCAACCUGGGAACUGCAUCUGAUACUGGCAAGCUUGAGUCUCGUAGAGGGGGGUAGAAUUCCAGGUGUAGCGGUGAAAUGCGUAGAGAUCUGGAGGAAUACCGGUGGCGAAGGCGGCCCCCUGGACGAAGACUGACGCUCAGGUGCGAAAGCGUGGGGAGCAAACAGG